rnacentral:rRNA from 1 species
UACGGGGGGGGCAAGCGUUGUUCGGAAUUACUGGGCGUAAAGGGCGCGUAGGCGGCUGAGCAGGUCCGGUGUGAAAUCCCUCGGCUCAACUGAGGAAUUGCGCUGGAAACCGCUUGGCUCGAGUACAGGAGAGGAGGGCGGAAUUCCCGGUGUAGCGGUGAAAUGCGUAGAUAUCGGGAAGAACACCGGUGGCGAAGGCGGCUCUCUGGACUGUAACUGACGCUGAGGCGCGAAAGCGUGGGGAGCGAACGGG